rnacentral:rRNA from 1 species
CUAAGUUUGAUGGCGACCGGCGCACGGGUGAGUAACACGUAUCCAACCUGCCGAUGACUCGGGGAUAGCCUUUCGAAAGAAAGAUUAAUACCCGAUGGCAUAGUUCUUCCGCAUGGUGGAACUAUUAAAGAAUUUCGGUCAUCGAUGGGGAUGCGUUCCAUUAGGUUGUUGGCGGGGUAACGGCCCACCAAGUCUUCGAUGGAUAGGGGUUCUGAGAGGAAGGUCCCCCACAUUGGAACUGAGACACGGUCCAAACUCCUACGGGAGGCAGCAUG